rnacentral:misc_RNA from 1 species
AAGGAUAAAGUUAUCAUCUUCAGUUUUGAGAGACUUAAGAAAGUUUUUCAUUUUUUAAGAUUCGGGCCUAUAGCUCAGCUGGUUAGAGCACACGCCUGAUAAGCGUGAGGUCGGUGGUUCAAGUCCAUUUAGGCCCACCAAAAUAGGUCACAU